rnacentral:rRNA from 1 species
UACGUAGGUGGCAAGCGUUGUCCGGAUUUACUGGGCGUAAAGAGCGCGCAGGCGGUCGAUUUAGUCGCGUGUGAAAGCCCCCGGCUUAACUGGGGAGGGUCAUUCGAUACUGUUCGACUUGAAGGCAGGAGAGGGCAGCAGAAUUCCCGGUGUAGUGGUGAAAUGCGUAGAUAUCGGGAGGAAUACCAGUGGCGAAGGCGGCUGCCUGGCCUGUUCUUGACGCUGAGGCGCGAAAGCUGGGGGAGCAAACGGG